CAUGAAGCUAGUAAUAUUCAUUUGAAAAUUGAUAUUAUUUCCAUCAUUUCUAAACGUACUACUCACUCUGUCACUCACAUAUAAAUUAUAGUAGUAUUAAUUAUGAUUGAGACUACUGCAUUAACUUAACAAUACAAAAUUUAUUUUUCAAAGUUACUCUCACCUACCCACCAACAUUUCGAUUUUUGGGUUUUUUGCUGGAUGGGGGAAUCGAGAGAAUUGCCCGGUUGUGUUCUCCUCCUCACUCCUCUGCCUCCCUCCAAUUUCUCUCUCGUCACUCUAAAAAUCUUCAAACUAACUCUUUGCACCACUGUGUUAUUCUUCUCCUCUUCACUAUCUUCUUCCUGGGCCCUGAUAAAAGCAGAGGAGGUGGAGGUUAAUAAUAAUAAUUCAACCUUAAAGAAGCAGCAACCCAUCAUAUUUUAUUUUUAAUUCUUGGUGUUUAUAUUUAGUUCCCGUUAUUUCUUCAGAUGGCAGAGGAUUUGGACGACGGAGAGUUUUCGCUUCCCCCUAAAUUUGUUUCUGAAGACAACUUACUCAUUGAAUUUAGUAAAAUCACAGAGAAGAACAACAAUGGAAAGCUUUUUGGGGAAAACAAUGGCGGCUAAGAUUUCCCUUAUGGGUUUGGGUUGAGACUGGAGUGAUGAGGAAGAAUACCUCUGGGUUUAGUUUGAAACUCGCUCAGUCUACUCUUUCUGAUGAUUUGUGGAAAGCAGACCAUGGCUUGGGAUGUGACAAGACCAAGGUACUUAUUAUUGCUAUAUUCCUCUUUUUUUUGCUUUUUAAUUGAGUCCCAUCUCUGUCCCUUUGAAAACUACAAAUCUCGGGUUCCAUUCGAAUCAGUUUCUCAUAUUCCAGCAGCUGUUCCAAGCUAACCAAGUAAGCUUAAAGUCCUUCAAUCUUGCAAAUUUUUGAUACAUGUCCUCAAAGAACUGGAGAAACUGAUUUUUGCCUUGGAUUUCAGUUUCGGCAGUUGAAGCAGCAACAAAUGAUGAAACAACAGCAGCAGCAGAAUGGACUGGGUUGGGGACAACAACAGAUGGUUCAUAAGAACAGGGCUAGAAAUGGUAGUAAUGGGCGUCCACUGGGUUUUUCCCCGUCUGCUUGGCCUACUUUGCAACAAUCCCAGCAGCAACAGCCGACGCCGCAGUGACUCAGGGAUAAGGGCUGCAUUUCUAGAAAAAAAACCGAAACUGUGUGUUGGUUGGUGAGGGUAAUUUUGGAAAAUGAAUUUUGUAUUGUUGUUAAGUUAUUGCAUUUGUCUCAACUAUAGUUAGUUAAUAUGGAAGUGGAUAGUUUAAAUUUAAUUUUGGUUAAUUGACUAAUACAAUGUCGACACGUAAGUUGAAAAAUGAUUUUUUUCUGCGUGUCAGCAGUGUAUUGAUCAAUUGACCAACUUACUAUGAAAUUAACCGAAUACAUUAAUAUGUGGGUGUGAAAAUAUUAAUUUUUUAUUAUUUUAUAUGAUUUUGCGAACACUAAAAUAUUCUACUUGUGUUGAAGAAACUUUUUCCAUGCAUACUACUCCCGUUCCUUAAUAUAAGUUAUUUUAGAAAAAUAUUUGUGUUUUUUAAUAUAAGUCGUUUGAGAAUUUCAAGUAAGCAUUAAUUGCUUAGUUUUCAAUAUUAUGCCAAG
rnacentral:lncRNA from 1 species